AGAGCUUAAGUUGGAUACCUAGGCAUUCAGAAGCGAUGAAGGGCGUGACUACCGACGAAAUGUUUCGGGGAGCUGGAAGUAAGCUUUGAUCCGGAAGUACCCGAAUGAGGAAACUCUUAGUACUACAUAUCGAACACAUAAAUAUGUAAGAGCGAACCUGGUGAAUUGAAACAUCUCAGUAACCAGAGGAAAAGAAAGCAAUAGCGAUUCCCACAGUAGCGGCGAGCGAAAAGGGAACAGCCUAAACUACUUUUGUAGGGUCGUGGGACAAUAUAUAAUAGAUGAGUAAAAAUUAGGUGAAGUGUUUGGAAUAAUACACGAAACAAGGUGAUAGUCCUGUAACCAAAAGUUUAGACUCCUAGUAUUGUAUCCCGAGUAGCAUGGGACACGUGAAACCCCGUGUGAAUCUGCGAGGACCACCUCGUAAGGCUAAAUAUUCCUGAAUGACCGAUAGCGAACAAGUACCGCGAGGGAAAGGUGAAAAGAACCCCGGAAGGGGAGUGAAAAAGAACAUGAAAGCUUAAGCUUACAAGCAGUGGAAGAACGACUAAACGUUUAACCUCGUACCUGUUGAAGAAUGAGCCGGCGACUUGUAGGUAGUGGCAGGUUAAGGUAGAAAAUACCGGAGCCAGAGUGAAAGCGAGCUUUAAUAGAGCGUUUUGUCACUGUUUACAGACCCGAACCCGGAUGAUCUAACCAUGGCCAGCGUGAAGCUUAGGUAACACUAAGUGGAGGUGCGAACCGACUGAUGUUGAAAAAUCAGCGGAUGAGCUGUGGUUAGGGGUGAAAUGCCAAUCGAAUCCGGAGCUAGCUGGUUCUCCCCGAAAUGCGUUUAGGCGCAGCGAUUGAUGCUCCAACUUAGGGGUAAAGCACUGUUUCGGUGCGGGCUGCUAACGCGGUACCAAAUCGAUGCAAACUCUGAAUACUAAGUGUGUAGUCAAUCAGUAAGACUGUGGGGGAUAAGCUCCAUUGUCAAAAGGGAAACAGCCCAGACCACCAGUUAAGGCCCCUAAAUAAUUGCUAAGUGAUAAAGGAUGUGGGAAUGCUGAGACAAUCAGGAGGUUCGCCUAGAAGCAGCUAUCCUUUAAAGAGUGCGUAAUAGCUCACUGAUCAAGCGCACCUGCGCCGAAAAUGACUGGGACUAAGUAAUUUGCCGAAGCUGUGGGAUUUUAUAUCGGUAGGGGAGCGUUCUACAAUAGAUAGAAGCAUUAAUGAAAAUGGAUGUGGACAAAGUAGAAGUGAGAAUGUCGGCUUGAGUAGCGAAAACAUUGGUGAGAAUCCAAUGCCCCGAAAACCUAAGGAUUCCUCCGGAAGGCUCGUCCGCGGAGGGUAAGUCAGGACCUAAGGCGAGGCCGAAAGGCGUAGCUAAUGGACAACGGGUUAAUAUUCCCGUACUAUGUAUUGUUGAUAACGAGGGACGGAGAAGGCUAAAUCAGCUGGAUGUUGGUUACCAGUUUAAGCAUUCAAGGUGUUGAUGAGCAGAGAAAAUGCUCUGAGCUAAAGUGUUACGACGAAGUACUAAGGUACUGAAGUGAUUGAUGUCAUGCUUCCAAGAAAAGCUCGAAUUAUCUUAAACAAUAUAUACCUGUACCACAAACCGACACAGGUGGGUAAGUAGAAUAUACUAAGGGGCGCGAGAUAACUCUCUCUAAGGAACUCGGCAAAAUUACCUCGUAACUUUGGAAGAAGAGGUACCCUUGAAAAAGGGUUGCAAUGAAUAGACCCUGGCGACUGUUUACCAAAAACACAGGUCUCCGCGAAUUCGUAAGAAUAAGUAUGGGGGCUGACGCCUGCCCAGUGCCGGAAGGUUAAAGAAGUUGGUCAAUCCUCGGAUGAAGCUAGCGACUGAAGCCCCGGUGAACGGCGGCCGUAACUAUAACGGUCCUAAGGUAGCGAAAUUCCUUGUCGGGUAAGUUCCGACCCGCACGAAAGGCGUAACGAUCAGGGUGCUGUCUCGGAGAGAGACUCGGCGAAAUAGAAUUGUCUGUGAAGAUGCGGACUACCUGCACCUGGACAGAAAGACCCUAUGAAGCUUUACUGUAUCUUGGAAUUGGGUUUGGUCUUUACUUGCGCAGGAUAGGUGGGAGGCAGUGAAAAUAGUCUUGCGGGAUUAUUAGAGCCAACGGUGAGAUACCACUCUAGUAAAGAUAAAAUUCUAACUCUAUACCGUUAUCCGGAUAGAGAACAGUUUCAAGUGGGCAGUUUGACUGGGGCGGUCGCCUCCUAAAAGGUAACGGAGGCGUGCAAAGGUUCCCUCAGGCUGGUUGGACAUCAGUCGAAGAGUGUAAAGGCAUAAGGGAGCUUGACUGCGAGACCCACAAGUCGAGCAGAGACGAAAGUCGGCCUUAGUGAUCCGACGGUUCCGAGUGGAAGGGCCGUCGCUCAACGGAUAAAAGUUACUCUAGGGAUAACAGGCUGAUCUCCCCCAAGAGUUCACAUCGACGGGGAGGUUUGGCACCUCGAUGUCGGCUCAUCGCAUCCUGGGGCGGUAGUACGUCCCAAGGGUUGGGCUGUUCGCCCAUGAAAGCGGUACGCGAGCUGGGUUCAGAACGUCGUGAGACAGUUCGGUCCAUAUCCGGUGCAGGCGUUAGAGUAUUGAGAGGUGUCCCCCUUAGUACGAGAGGACCGGGGGGAAUACACCGCUGGUGUACCAGUUAUCGUGCCAACGGUAAACGCUGGGUAGCCAAGUGUAGACGGGAUAACUGCUGAAAGCAUCUAAGUAGGAAGCCCUCCUCAAGAUGAGUACUCUCACCGCUUUAAGCGGGUAAGAUCACGACAAGAACAGUCGUUUGAUAGGCGUUAGGUGUAAGUGCAGUAAUGUAUUUAGCUAAGACGUACUAAUAGAUCGAGGGCUUGAUUUACAAUAUACCAUUUACAGUUUUAAAGACUUGAAGUCUUGGUGCUUAUAGCGCAAUGGAACCACUCCGAUCCAUCUCGAACUCGGUUGUGAAACGUUGCAGCGGCAAAGAUACUUGAGAAGAAGUUCUCCGGGAAACUAGCACAGUGCCAAGUCUAACAUUUUUAUUUUCGAACAUUAUUUAAAAGUAAGAUUAGUAAAGUAACAAGAUGUUUGUUCCUUUAGUAAUCUUACUUUGGGUUUUCAGUAAAUUUCUAAAUAGCCGUAGUUAAAAACCUAACAAUACUCUCGUUGAUUUUCAUAGCACGUUCUAACAAUUGUAUAACUUCACCAUUCCCUUCAUAAUUCAUUUGAACAUAGUGAGCAUCUUUAUACUUUUUUAUCAUGUAUUUUAAGGUGCGACGCCCACGGUUCUGAGUAAUGAUGUUUUUUGCUCCGCGUUCAAGUAAUAAUCCUUGAUAACUUUCAAUUAAUUUUGCCAGGCUAUCUUCUGUUAACUCCGGUUUUACAAUAUAUAAAGUCUCAUAUGAAUUUAAUUUCGUCAUACUUUUUUUUUCUAGUUUUUAUUACAUUUACAUAAUAGCAAAUAAUUACAAAGAUCAAAAUAUUAAUCUAUUAAAUAAAAAAAUAACUAAACAUGUUAGUUUUGUAAAAUUUUUUUUUAGUUCUUUAAAAGCUUUACUGUAUAAGCAAAAUUUAAAAAUAUUUGAAUUAUUUAGUUUUUUGUUAGAUAAUAUGUGUAACAAGUACAAUAGAUUACUUGGGAAGUAUAUUACUAUAAAAUUUAAACAUAAUAUAAAACAAUGACUGCUACAUUAGAAAGACGCGAAAGCGCAAGUUUAUGGGAACGUUUCUGCUCUUGGAUUACUAGCACAGAAAACCGUUUAUACAUCGGUUGGUUCGGUGUUUUAAUGAUUCCUACACUAUUAACAGCUACAACUGUUUUCAUCAUUGCUUUUAUCGCUGCACCGCCAGUUGAUAUCGAUGGUAUUCGUGAGCCUGUUGCUGGUUCAUUAUUAUACGGUAACAACAUCAUUACUGGUGCUGUUAUUCCUUCAUCUGCAUCUAUUGGUAUUCACUUCUACCCUAUCUGGGAAGCAGCUUCUCUAGACGAGUGGCUAUACAACGGUGGUCCUUACCAACUUAUCGUUGAUCACUUCUUAUUAGGUGUUUGUGGAUGGAUUGGUCGUGAGUGGGAAUUCAGCUACCGUUUAGGUAUGCGUCCUUGGAUUUCUGUUGCAUUCACUGCACCAGUUGCUGCAGCGUCAGCUGUAUUCUUAGUAUAUCCAAUCGGACAAGGCAGCUUCUCUGAUGGUAUGCCAUUAGGUAUUUCUGGUACAUUCAACUUCAUGCUUGUUUUCCAAGCUGAGCACAACAUUUUAAUGCACCCAUUCCACCAACUAGGUGUUGCUGGUGUAUUUGGUGGUUCAUUAUUCUCAGCUAUGCACGGUUCUCUAGUUACUUCUAGCUUAAUCCGUGAAACAACAGAAAACGAAUCUGCUAACUAUGGUUACAAAUUCGGUCAAGAAGAAGAGACUUAUAACAUUGUAGCUGCACACGGUUACUUUGGUCGUCUAAUUUUCCAAUACGCGAGCUUCAACAACUCUCGUGCAUUACACUUCUUCUUAGGUCUAUGGCCAGUUGUAGGUAUCUGGUUCACAGCAUUAGGUAUCAUGACUAUGGCAUUCAACUUAAAUGGUUUCAACUUCAACCAAUCAGUUGUUGACAGCCAAGGUCGUGUUAUUAACACUUGGGCAGACAUUCUUAACCGUGCUAACUUAGGUAUCGAAGUUAUGCACGAACGUAAUGCUCACAACUUCCCUCUAGACUUAGCUUCUGGUGAGUCUUUACCAGUUGCUCUUACAGCUCCAGCUGUAAUCGGCUAGAAUAGAACGAUUAGCUUUACUUAGGUAAAGCUAAUCUUUUUUUAUUCAUUUUCAUGCAAUUAAAUUUUAAUUUAUGCGAUUAUUUUUUUAUAAUUUAUUAACUAUUUUAUUUGGUUUUUUUCUUUCUACUUUACUCUCUACGAUAUUAAGUCAGACUGGUGAUUGGAGUAUAUUAGCAGCUUCAAUUUUGGUUGCAACUAUUGAGUUGAUUAAUAAAAAUAAGUACAAAAAAAAACCAUUGAUUAUUGGUCUAGUAUUAACAAUAUAAAAAUUGGUUUUAUGUAUGGAUUAUUUGUAGAAGCUUUUAAAUUAGGUAGUUAAAUUACAUAAAAUAAAAAACAUUACAGAUUAUUACUUUCUUAAACGUAAAAAUUAGAUUUGCUUUAUAUUGUUAAUGAUACAUAGAUAUCGAGUAUCAGCUGAUUAAAAUAAUUACAGUUGACACAGUUUAAAAAUAUAUAAUAAAUGGAGAAGUAUUAUGCUUGACGCAUUUUCUAGAGUAGUAACUAACGCAGACGCAAAAGCAGCAUAUGUAGGUGGUGCAGACCUACAAGCUCUUAAAAAGUUCAUUUCUGAAGGUAACAAACGUUUAGACGCUGUAAAUUCAGUUGUUUCUAACGCUAGUUGCAUCGUAUCUGAUGCUGUAUCUGGUAUGAUUUGUGAAAACCCUUCAUUAAUUUCUCCAAGCGGAAAUUGCUACACUAACCGUCGUAUGGCUGCAUGUCUACGUGAUGGUGAGAUCAUCUUACGUUAUGUUUCAUAUGCACUUCUUUCAGGUGAUUCUUCUGUAUUAGAAGAUCGUUGUUUAAAUGGUCUUAAAGAAACUUACUCAUCUUUAGGCGUACCUGCUAAUUCUAACGCACGUGCAGUAAGCAUUAUGAAAGCUUGUGCUGUAGCAUUUAUUAACAAUACAGCUUCUCAACGUAAACUUUCAACACCUCAAGGAGAUUGUUCAGGUUUAGCUAGUGAGUGUGCAAGCUACUUUGAUAAAGUAACUGCAGCUAUUAGCUAGUUUAAAGUUUAUAUUAAAUACAAAAAAGGGUUACUUAUAAAAUAAGUAAUCCUUUUUUGUAUUUUUUCUGUUUUAAUAUAGAAAAAUACAUUUUAUUUAGAUAUAUGUUCAAUGUUCAAUUUGAUAUCUUUAAUUUCUCUAAUAAUAUUACAUUUUUGACUUUAUUGAUUAGUUUAAUUUCUUAUUGGUUAGGUUUGAUUUUUAAGAAGAUAAAAAAUGUCUUUUACAUUGGUUAUGGAAGUACUAUACUUGCCUGUAUAACUAUAACUAUUAUUCUAGGUACCAGAUGGAUAGAAAGUGGAUAUUUUCCGUUAAGUAAUUUAUACGAAUCACUUAUGUUUUUAACAUGGGGUUUGUUGUUUAGUGCAAUUUAUUUAGAAUAUAAAACCAAUUUAUAUUUAAUUGGUGCAAUUGUUAGUCCAAUUAGUUUAUUCAUUGUUUCAUUUAGCACUUUAUCUUUACCACAAGAUAUGCAGAAAGCUGCUCCUUUGGUACCUGCUUUAAAAUCAAAUUGGUUAAUGAUGCAUGUCAGUGUUAUGAUGCUAAGUUAUUCUACUUUGAUUAUAGGUUCAUUAUUAGCUAUUUUGU
rnacentral:rRNA from 1 species